rnacentral:rRNA from 1 species
UACGGAGGGUGCAAGCGUUAAUCGGAAUUACUGGGCGUAAAGCGCACGCAGGUGGCUGAGUCAGUCGAUUGUGAAAGCCCUGGGCUUAACCUGGGAAUUGCAGUCGAUACUACUCAGCUAGAGUAUGGGAGAGGGAAGUGGAAUUUCCGGUGUAGCGGUGAAAUGCGUAGAUAUCGGAAGGAACAUCAGUGGCGAAAGCGACUUCCUGGACCAAUACUGACGCUCAUGUGCGAAAGCGUGGGGAGCAAACAGG